AAAACAAACCUACGGGAGGCAGCAGUAAGGAAUAUUGGUCAAUGGGCGGAAGCCUGAACCAGCCAUGCCGCGUGCAGGAUGACUGCCCUAUGGGUUGUAAACUGCUUUUGUCCAGGAAUAAACCUAGAUACGUGUAUCUAGCUGAAUGUACUGGAAGAAUAAGGAUCGGCUAACUCCGUGCCAGCAGCCGCGGUAAUACGGAGGAUCCGAGCGUUAUCCGGAUUUAUUGGGUUUAAAGGGUGCGUAGGCGGCCUAUUAAGUCAGGGGUGAAAUACGGUGGCUCAACCAUCGCAGUGCCUUUGAUACUGAUGGGCUUGAAUCCAUUUGAAGUGGGCGGAAU
rnacentral:rRNA from 1 species